rnacentral:tRNA from 1 species
AAAAACUUAGUUAAUUUAUAACAUUAAUUUGUCAAAUUAAAAUAAUCUUUAAAAUAGUUUUUU